rnacentral:rRNA from 1 species
AGAGUUUGAUCCUGGCUCAGGAUGAACGCUGGCGGCGUGCCUAACACAUGCAAGUCGAACGGACUUACAUUGAAGCCUAGCGAUAUGUAAGUUAGUGGCGGACGGGUGAGUAACGCGUGGGUAACCUGCCUUGUACUGGGGGACAACAGUUGGAAACGACUGCUAAUACCGCAUAAGCGCACAGCUUCGCAUGAAGCAGUGUGAAAAACUCCGGUGGUACAAGAUGGACCCGCGUCUGAUUAGCUGGUUGGUGAGGUAACGGCCCACCAAGGCGACGAUCAGUAGCCGGCCUGAGAGGGUGAACGGCCACAUUGGGACUGAGACACGGCCCAAACUCCUACGGGAGGCAGCAGUGGGGAAUAUUGCACAAUGGGGGAAACCCUGAUGCAGCAACGCCGCGUGAGUGAAGAAGUAUUUCGGUAUGUAAAGCUCUAUCAGCAGGGAAGAAAAUGACGGUACCUGACUAAGAAGCCCCGGCUAACUACGUGCCAGCAGCCGCGGUAAUACGUAGGGGGCAAGCGUUAUCCGGAUUUACUGGGUGUAAAGGGAGCGUAGACGGUUUUGCAAGUCUGAAGUGAAAGCCCGGGGCUUAACCCCGGGACUGCUUUGGAAACUGUAGAACUAGAGUGCAGGAGAGGUAAGUGGAAUUCCUAGUGUAGCGGUGAAAUGCGUAGAUAUUAGGAGGAACACCAGUGGCGAAGGCGGCUUACUGGACAGUAACUGACGUUGAGGCUCGAAAGCGUGGGGAGCAAACAGGAUUAGAUACCCUGGUAGUCCACGCCGU